GACGAACGCUGGCGGCGUGCCUAAUACAUGCAAGUCGAACGCUGAAGGAGGAGCUUGCUUCUCUGGAUGAGUUGCGAACGGGUGAGUAACGCGUAGGUAACCUGCCUGGUAGCGGGGGAUAACUCUUGGAAACGAUAGCUAAUACCGCAUAAUAGUAGAUGUUGCAUGACAUUUGCUUAAAAGGUGCAAUUGCAUCACUACCAGAUGGACCUGCGUUGUAUUAGCUAGUUGGUGGGGUAACGGCUCACCAAGGCGACGAUACAUAGCCGACCUGAGAGGGGGAUCGGCCACACUGGGACUGAGACACGGCCCAGAAUCCUACGGGAGGCAGCAGUAGGGAAUCUUCGGCAAUGGACGGAAGUCUGACCGAGCAACGCCGCGGGAGUGAAGAAGGUUUUCGGAUCGUAAAGCUCUGUUGUAAGAGAAGAACGAGUGUGAGAGUGGAAAGUUCACACUGUGACGGUAUCUUACCAGAAAGGGACGGCUAACUACGUG
rnacentral:rRNA from 1 species